rnacentral:lncRNA from 1 species
AGCAACCCUUCUGGGUCCCCUUCCACCACGCAGAAGCUUUACUUUCGCUUUCACUUUACUUUUGCUUUCACUUUAACAAAUCUUGCAGCCGCACACUCUUUGGGUCCGCCCGUUUCUCUAAUCAAGUUGUAACACUCGCUGCUGUGGUCCACAGCUUCAUUCCUUGAAGCCCGUGAGACACGAACGCUUCCAUUGAGAAAAACCUUCCAUCAGAAGAAGACUUCUCGUCUCAGUGGGACUGCUGAGUUGAAUGGAUGACCUUUGUUUGUUUAAACUGUUGGAAAAUCAAUAUUUAAAAUGAAAUCUAGAAACUGAAGUGUGCCCUCUGCAGGAUCACCAGAAUGAUGGGAAAACUGAACACAAUCAACUCAUGAACUCCCCAAGGUCAGAGGUUUGGUCUAAUUCAAUAACUAAUAUCUAGAAGGUAUUCUAGAAAAAUGCAUGUUAACAGAGUGAGCAAAAGUAACAGUCAAAGAAACCCAGGAAUCACAUUUCAUGCCUAUAUUAGUCUGUUCUCACACUGCUAGUAAAGACAUAACUGAGACUGGGUAAUUUAUAAAGGAAAGAUGUGUAAUUAAUUCAUAGUUCCACAUGGCUGGGGAGGCCUCAUCAUCAUGGCAGAAGGCAAAAAUGAAGCAAGACACGUCUUACAUGGCAGCAGGCAAGACAGCGUGUGCAGGGGAACUGCCCUUUAUAAAACCAUCACAUCUCAUGAGACUUACUAUCACAAAAACAGCAUGGAAAAACUCCCUCCCAUGAGUCAGUUACCUCCCACCAGAUCCCGCCCAUGACACAUGAGGAUUAUGGGGGCUACAAUUCAAGAUGAGAUUUGGGUGCAGACACAGCCAAAUCAUAUCAUAUCCUCUGUUUUCCAAAGAUCUUAUAUAAUUUAGUUCUACUUUAGAAAAAUUAAUCCAAUGAUAGUUGGCAGUAUAUACAGUUGUGUAAAAGAUGGGUAAUUUUUUGCAUACUCGUAAGAGUUCAGAAAAUUAAGAUAUAAGCUAUUGGUUAAGAGAGGGAAUAGCCUCUCUCAUUAUGACAAAAAUUAAUAGUUGAUUAUUUUUUUCAUAUAUGAUAAAAAUCUUAGUCCAUAUGUGUUUCAAUUUAAAAGACAUGAGAAGAUAAUAUGAUUUUUCCUCCAAAGUUGACUGGUUGGCUAUUAGACUGCAAAUCUCAUAAUAUAAUUACCUUGGUGGAAACAUAGUAAUUUAAAUAUUGGACAUUAGAUUUGCAGGUGCAGGAAAUCAAUUGUGUCAAUAUACAAAAAUUUUAUUAUACUAUUACAAUGAUUCACACUAAAAAUAUUUGGCGGGGAUUGAUAUAUAAAUAUACAUGGCAAUGUAUUAAUUUAUAAUGGUGGUGAUUUCUCUAACUACCUUCACCCCAGCUAUAUAUCAUAUAGUCAUAGUUGGAAACCACCGAGGAGGGUCACUCCAGCUGAGAGAGUCAAACUGUCAAGUCCCUACACUCUGACAUCACCCUGCUCAAAAGGGUUCUCCAUCUGCCGUUGCUCUCUUUUCUAUCGGUCAAUGCCUCAUGUAUAAGGAAACAUGAUCUUCUAUCAUUUACUGUACUGUUCUUCUCAAUGUUCUGCACUUGCUUUUUUUGGACUCAGCUGUCUACCAUAUCCUCAUCUUCAAAACUUUCCCACAGUAUUUUCUAGAACUAUCCAUCUAGAAUAAUAAUAAUAAUAAUAAAACCUAUCUUCAACUUCUACAUUGCCUGCCAUAAGUGAAACUUGACUCAUCUGAAGAUAUCACCUGUACUGUUUCCCUCUUAAUGCUGGUUGCUUAUUUUCGGACACACACACACACCCCUGGAUGGUGAGGUGGUAUUUCUGAACUCCCUAAACUGCAGUGGCACUUCUAGCAAUGAGACACCAUUCUCUUGUAAAACUAACAAAAAACACAUGCACAUACUGUAUUGGUUUGUUUUCAAAUUGCUAUAAAGAAAUACCUGAGACUGGGUAAUUUAUUAAAAAAAAAAAAAGAGGUUUCAUUGGCUCACGGUUCUGUAGCCUGUAUAGGAAGCACAGCAGCUUUUGCUUCUAGGGAGGCCUCAGGAAACUUACAAUCAUGGUGGAAAGCAAAGCGGAAGCAGGCACAUCUUAUAUGGCUGGAGUAGGAGCAAGGUGGUACAGAUGGAGCCACAUACAUGUAAACAGCCAGAUCUCUUGAGAACUCAUUCACCAUACAGUACCAAGAAGGGAUGGUGCUAAACCAUUCAUGAGAACUCUGCCUCCAUGAUCCAGUCCCCACGUCCAAAAAUUUGACUUAAGAUUUGGUGGGACACUAAUCCAACUCACCUACACACACACACACACACUCUCACACUAAACACAUUUGAGAUUCAUUUGAGAUUCAUGAAAUUUCACUAUACAAUUCCAACUGCUUUCUUACUGCUAUCAUCUAACUUCUGGUAAUUGGUUCACUAACAUAUCUUCAUCCAAAUUCUGUCACUGCCAUCCUUCAUGACGUAUGAACCCUCUAUGCUUAACAUACUUGUCUCCGAAGAAUCUGUCCUCUGCCCUGUCGUACAUCCGUAUCUCUCACACUAUGAAUUUUGUUAUAAAUGCAGAUUAUCUCUACUACAGAAUUGCUAAUUCAGUUAUUACACUCUCUGAGUACAACUUGCUUUCCUAGCUAUGGUCAUUUCUGUACUUCAGUGAGAGUCCCAGUUCAUGGCAUUUCCAAAUUCGUAGAGUUCUUUAGGCGUCUCAUUUUUGUUAUCAACAUUACUUUCUAAUCAUAAAUCUUGUUCAGAAUUUCUUGUUAACAACUUCUUUUCAUCAUUAUAUCAAAAGUGUCAAUUCUUCUCCGCGUAUUUUCAAACUUGAACUCAGCCUCCCAGUUCCCAGCCAAAGAACAAUCUUAUCUCUUCACAUAGAAAAUAUGAUAUCACCCUCAAUUUCUGCUUCCACCUAUACAAACCUAUCUACACUUACCUCUAUUUUGUCCUGCUUCCUUCUGCUUAAGCAUAGGUACUUGGGGACUGUUUCCUCUCACAUUCAAAGAAAUCUUUUCUUAUGUGAGUUCUCCAUUAUCUCCUAUCUAUUCGUCAACAUUCUCACAUUAAGAUCCUAAUUGUUCCAAGGAAAAUGUUUCUGCUUUUUUAGCUUUAUGGAUUUUCUACGUUGAUUCAUUUUCAUGUAAAUAGAAAGUGUGGGCUAAACUUUUAUCUACCUUAUUGAAUAUUAAGUAAACUAAAAUGCUUAAAAAGCGAUUUUUCAUACCGAAGAACUAAACUUUUCUCUGUACUUGGACACUUUGAUAAAUCAUAAUUGGUAGUUUACAGAUGGGAAGCUUACUUGCAAAUGUUCUAAAGAUGAAUGCUUCCUUUUGUAUGACAUUUUGAUAUAAAUUAAGAUCCAUGUGUUUCAUAUAUUGCUGAAAAAAAAAUAGUGUUAAAACAAUACUUCCUCUGCUGAAUAUAUGUGAAACUAUAUCUUUGAUUAGUGAUUCUGUCUCCUCUUCCACAGCAAAAAAUAACCCUCAAAUUUCUGUAAUUCUUUCCUGCUUCCUUUGCUUCUGCUAUGAAUGUUUUCUUAUGACACUGGAAAAAGUUUUAGUAGCUAACUAUAUAUAUUCACAUACAUACAUAUGUGUGUAUAUGUAUAUCUAUAUAUAUGUGCAUAUCAUGUGUACAUAUUUAUACAUACACAUUUAUAUCACAAUGACAGUAGAUAUAGCAUUAUAUGGCUCCUCUCCCACCUGUUAUUUUAGGAGCAGCUGUAAUUCUUAAAUAAGCGUUUAUUCUAUUGAUGUCCCCAGAGGUUGUCCCCAUUUGCGCCCAGGAACUCAUUCCUUACCCGUAAUGUAGCAUCUGCUGCUAUUUUUGUUUCUUAUUUUUCCUGUGAGGAGAUGCUGCAGGAACUACAGACCCAGGAAAUCAACUGUUAUGACUGACUCUCAAUUAAAAUCAGUGCCUGCCUCUGAGCUAUUGAUGAUUCUAAAAAGUACAGCAUCCACUACCAUUACUUCCUUAUGUAUAAGGGCUGUCACUCUUUAAGCAAAAUAAACAGAUUUUUGAGCAUCAUCUCUUUUUUGGAUCAUCAUUUUGCAAGUGGAGAUUGUGCUUUUUUUUCUGAAGCUUUGGUAGUGUAACUGUAAGAGUCCUGGAAUUGGAAAAGCAAAUCCAGAAGUUGAGUUCCAUGACUUUUUUGCUGUUUGCCUUUGGACUUGCAUCAUUUAUAUUUUUAAUUCAUCGAGGAUGAGAAAAUUGAUUAACACAAAAUCUUUUCAUGUCUUUUCUGAUGAGAGACUAGCUGAAUCCAAGAAGAGAAGCCCUUGAAGAGUGUAUUCUAUUCUAGACAAGCAUUCACACAUUGGCUUCUUUGGUGCCAGGUAAUUAGAAUUUGUAAUUUGGUCUUAAUUAAACUGCAGACUACCCAAAGGCCUUGAUCAGUGGCCUUUUGACUGCCUCCACCGUUUGGAGGAAACAAACAAAACACAAAUUAGCCUUUAAAAAUAUGCCCAUUGAUUUCUCCUCAUCUCCCCAAACAUAUACAACCCCACCAGAUAUAUAUUUAUAUUGGCUAUAAAAAUAUGCCCAUUGAUUUCUCCUCAUCUCCCCAAACAUAUACAACCCCACCAGAUAUAUAUUUAUAUUGGGUAUAAUGUCAACAUAUAUCAAAUGUGCCAAUUAAACACAGAGCUCCUCUAAACUACCAAGCAUGUUAUUAUUAUUAUUUUAAUUUUUAAAACAUUUCUAACUUAACAGAAACAUUGGCCGGGCAGCACUAAUUGUAUCAUUCCUAUGUACUACCAACUUCUCACCAGUAUUGAACUUGAUCUUCAAAACUCUUCCCAGAUAGGGCUAUUUUUCCACUGACUCUAUUGUUAUUCCUUCCCAUUUUCCCUCCUCUGUUUUUGAUGCUUUUUAUUUUGGUUAGCAUGUUUCUGAUCAGCAUGAAAACUGCGCAGGAGCUUUUCUGUCUUGCAGAGCUAGUUAAUGAGAUUGUUGCUGCCUUCAGAUUCUAUAAAGGACUUCUCCAAUAUUGGAUUAAAGAAUGAAGAAAGGAUCAAAUUGAGACAUCCAGGGGGGAAGAGUUCCCUGGCAAAACUCCAAUCUGCCUGAGCACUGAGGUGGAGCCACAGAAGUCCGGGUCAUUUGCACCUGGGAGGAGCCUGGCCCCUCCUCUUCCUGUGUGGAAUCUGGGAUUUAAUCUGUGAGGAGGGAAGGCCAAGGGCAGGAAGCACAGGCUCUCACUUCACUAAGAGUCUCUGUUUCCCCUUUUUUUCCUUUAUGCCUAAUUAAUAAAUCCCAUUUUUCUCACUCUUCAAAUAGUCUUCAAGCCUAAAUUUUCAUGACCAUGGAACAAGGACCCCAUCUUUAGCUGAACUAAGGAAAAGUCCUGCAACAAAAUUCUUUGCUAAAAAUACAUGAGGUUGCCUUUUCCUUCUUAAUCUUAAAAGAAAUAUAUUUCAAUGGUUAACGUUUUAGUAAUUCAAAAAUUAUCAAGCAUUUGUUCACAACCAUAAGAUGUGCAUUGUUUUAUAUUCCUACUUAAUAAUAGACUAUAAUUGUCUAAUUAGACUGCCGAUGUUGAUCUUUGUGGCUCAUUGCAUUGAUUAUAAGCAGUGUUUUGGGUUUGUGUGUGUGUGUCAAAUUUAGGGUUUUUUUGGUAUGGCUGCUGGUUGGUGUAGCCUGUAUCCAGUAUCCUGUAUUAAUUCUAAUAUUUGCAUUUUGAACAUAUUUACAAGUUGCUAAAAUAGCAAAGCUUCGAGAUGAGCCUGGCUGAUAUGGCAAAACCCCGUCUCUACUAAAAAUACAAAAAUUAGCCUGGUGUGGUGGUGCAUGCCUGUAAUCCCAGCUACUUGGAAGUCUGAGGCAGGAGAAUCUCUUGAACCCAGAAGGUGGAGGUUGCAGUGGGCCAAGAUCGCACCACUGCACUCCAGCCUCGGUGAUAGAGCGAGACUACGUCUCAAAAAUAAAAUAAAAUAAAAUAAAAUAAAAAUAGCAAAGCUAUGUAUGGUUUCUCUGAGUUUUGUAAUUUAUCAUUGUUAACUGCAGAAAUUUAUUAUAUGAGACAUAUUAUAUGAGACAUAUAAGUGAAUUUGGAUUGGGUUUAAUUUUAUAUUUUUGAAUAUAGUUCUUCAAGAUAAAUUUUAUCUUAGACCUCAAGAAAUAAAAAUAAAAUAAAUUAGAUAUACAAACGA